rnacentral:rRNA from 1 species
CCUACGGGCGGCAGCAGUGAGGAAUAUUGGUCAAUGGACGAGAGUCUGAACCAGCCAAGUAGCGUGAAGGAUGACUGCCCUAUGGGUUGUAAACUUCUUUUAUAUGGGAAUAAAAUGUUCCACGUGUGGGAUUUUGUAUGUACCAUAUGAAUAAGGAUCGGCCAACUCCGUGCCAGCCGCCGCGGUAAUACGGAGGAUCCGAGCGUUAAUCGGAUUUAUUGGGUUUAAAGGGAGCGUAGGUGGAUAGUUAAGUCAGUUGUUAAAGUUUGCGGCUCAACCGUAAAAUUGCAGUUGAAACUGGCAGUCUUGAGUACAGUAGAGGUAGGCGGAAUGCGUGGUGUAGCGGUGAAAUGCUUAGAUAUCACGAAGAACUCCGAUUGCGAAGGCAGCACACUGGUCUGCAACUGACACUGAGGCUCGAAAGUGUGGGUAUCAAACAGGAUUAGAUACCCCGGUAGUC